rnacentral:lncRNA from 1 species
UUUAACCUUUUUACAAUUAUACAAUCAAAACUCAAAGUGGGGUUCCAAGAUUAUUGAAAAAGAUCCUUUCUUUUUUCUCUGAUUUCUCUGUUUCCUCUGUUUUCUAAAUUAUAACCAAUCAGAUUGCACAAACCAGAACAAAAAGCAUUGCCACUCUUUCUUCGUUAGUUUCAAUUUGUUUGGUUUUUUCAACUAGUAACCAUUUGUGUCCAUAGUUCUGAAUUCUGAACAGAAAACAGUAGAUCAGAAACCUCUGACAAAAAAAAAAAAAAAAACUCAUGAUAGAAACUUUUCGUACGUGUCAAGAAAUGUUGACAAUAACAUAAUACCCUUUACCUUUUUCGUGUAUAGGAAUAUUGUACACCAUAG